CCACAGCACAGCACGUCCGGGACCCCUUAGGCCAGCCACAUCUCGGGCCAGGCCUCGUGGAGCUCUCACUGGCAAUAAAAAGCAGCAAUACAUUCUCUCCUUUGUUGGAAGCAGCAAACAGCCCGGCCUAGCCAGCUUGGGCAACCAGGCCUCACUCCACAAGGCGGGGCACAGGUCGGGGGACACUGGCGAGGAUGUUUCCAAAGCCCGGCAGGUCAGGGCCUGGCACGCAGAUCCCCUUCAGGGGCCAGUCUGCUAACAUAGACAUGUGAAACGGGUGGAGUUGAAACCACAGGCGCCAAAUGGCCGCUACUGCCACAGGCAGUGACACCUGUCCAGUUUCGGGGCUUUUUAAAGCCCUCUGUGUUGGAGACAACGCAUCACAGAGACCCACGUGGCUGAAAGCCUGUUAGUUUCACAGAGGGCACCUCCCACUUCAUGGCCUUUGCCCGUGCUGUCCCCUCGGCCUGGGAUGUUCUGGCAAAACCAUUGUUAGUUCCUAAUCCUUGCAAAAACACUGGGCCAACGAGAUCUGGGCCGUGAGCUGCGUGUGUAGACCCCUGUCGGCCCCAUUAGCUAACUCCUCUGACUUCAAGUCUCAGAGAAUUCUUCCCCAACACAGGCACCCUGCACCUCCCUUGUCACAGGGCAAUUUCACAUUUGUUUGAUUACUUGAUCAGUGUCUGUCUACCCUUGUAUUCCUUUCCCAGGGCUACAGUAACUAAUUAUCAUAAAGCUUAAACCCACAGAUUGUAUUGUCUCACAGUUGUGGGGAACAGAAGUCCAAACCAAAACCAAGGUGUUGGCAUGGUUGGCUCCUUCUGGAGGUUCACAGGGAGAAUCGGAUCCAUGCCCCGUCUCCUGGUUGAUGGUGGCUCCUUGGCUGGUGGCAGCAUGGCUGCAAUCUCUGCCUUCCUCAUCACACAGCGCUCUCCCUGUAUGCCUCUGUGUGCCAGGGUCCUGCUUCGUAUAAGAACCCCAGUUGUACCAUAUAUGGGGCCCAUCCUAACACAGUAUGACUUCAUCUUAUCUUGACAACAUCUGCAAAGACUCCAUUUCCAAAUAAGGUCAUAUUUGCAGGUUCCAGGUGGAUGUGAAUUUUGGGAAGACACUGUGCAACCCAGGAGAGCCCCCAAGUGUGGGGGGUCCACUUGCAUUGUGCCUGGAAGAAAGCAUAAGAGAAGAGGAUAUUGAUGGCUCCCUGCAAACACAUGAUCGCCGUGGAGGCAGAGAUGGGCAGGCAUGGAGAGCAACAGGGCUGGAGACCCGGCUGAGGGAAGGGAAGCCAUCCCGAAAUGAAUCCUGGAGUGCAUUGGGACCCUGUGCCGAUACACUGCGACUGAUUGCUUAUGUGCAUGCAGCUUCAUCUCCAGGGUUACAAGGCCACCAGAUGAGGUCUGGAAAGAGACAGGAUCUCCUUAUGUUGCCCGGGCUGGAGUAC